GCCCCCCCCCCAGGGCCCCGCGGCAGGGGGGGCUCCCCCGCGGCCCCCCCGCAGCCAGCCCCGCUCCGGCCGGGCGCUGUGGGUGCGGGAACGGGGCCACGGCGGCCGAGUGAUCGAACGGCUCCCGCGUGGGGCCCGGCAGCUCCUGGGGCUCCAGGCGGCCCCCGCGGCCCGGGCUCCCCAGGGGCACGGGGACGGAGAUGGGCCAGGAGGGUCGGAGCCCCGCAGCUGAGUGGGGUCGGGCUCAGCCCGGAACUCCCGGGCCCUUUGGGCUGCCCCGAUCCAUUUGGGUCAGGGGGGGCUCGGCCGUCAGCUCCCCGCUCUGUGCCACCACGUGUCCGGCCCCGGUGUCCCCCGAGCCCUGCGCUUCUCCCUGUCCCCUCAACCCCACGGCAGGGGGACAAUGGGGCCAGGCGGGCCUGAGCCCCCCGGGACAGGGGCACUGAGCCCCCGGGACAGGGGCACUGACCCCCCCCCCAGGACAGGGGCACUGAGCCCCCCAGACAGGGGCACUGAGCCCCCAGGACAGGGACACUGAGCCCCCCCGGGACAGGGACACUGAGCGCCCCCGGGACGGGGACACUGAGCCCCCCCGGGACAGGGGCACUGAGCCCCCCCGGGACAGGGACACUAAGCCCCCCGGACAGGGGCACUGCGUCCCCGGAACAGGGGCACUGAGCCCCCGGGACAGGGGCACUGAGCCCCCCCGGACAGGGGCACUGAGCCCCCCCGGGACAGGGGCACUGACCCCCCCGGGACGGGGGCCGGUGGCGGGGCGGGGGCUCGGCGCCACCCGCGGGGGCUGCGGGGCCCGGCCGGGGCUCGGCCGCUGCCGUCGGGGCGCGGGGGGGCGGCGGGCGCGCAGGGAGGCGGCGGCGGCUUUCUUCUUUAAUUAGCGCCGGUCGCGGUGUCUGCUGCGAACUUCCCGUCCCCUCCCUCCGCUUUCAAGCGCCGGAUCCCGGCCGGGGCCGGGGCCGCCGCCACCGCCGGGCUCUGCCUCCAAGGGUUAAAAGCACCUGGGCCGGGCUGGGCCGGGCUGGGCCGGGCCGGGCCGGGCGGGGAGGGGCGGGAGGCGGCGCGGGGGGGAAGAGCCGGGAGCGCGGCCGGGACCCGGCCAUUCCUGCUCGCCCGGCCCGGUGGGUGCCCGCUCCCUGGGGAGCCGCGCGGGUCCCUCGGGGUCCCUCGGCAGCCAGCGCCGCCCGCCCCGCCGAUGAGGACGGAGCCGCCGGGAGCCCGCCGCCGCCGCUAGACCCGUCUGUCUGCGCCACC
rnacentral:lncRNA from 1 species